AGUGAACGCUGGCGGUAGGCCUAACACAUGCAAGUCGAACGGCAGCACAGUAAGAGCUUGCUCUUACGGGUGGCGAGUGGCGGACGGGUGAGGAAUACAUCGGAAUCUACUUUCUCGUGGGGGAUAACGUAGGGAAACUUACGCUAAUACCGCAUACGACCUACGGGUGAAAGCAGGGGAUCUUCGGACCUUGCGCGAUUGAAUGAGCCGAUGUCGGAUUAGCUAGUUGGCGGGGUAAAGGCCCACCAAGGCGACGAUCCGUAGCUGGUCUGAGAGGAUGAUCAGCCACACUGGAACUGAGACACGGUCCAGACUCCUACGGGAGGCAGCAGUGGGGAAUAUUGGACAAAGGGCGCAAGCCUGAUCCAGCCAUACCGCGUGGGUGAAGAAGGCCUUCGGGUUGUAAAGCCCUUUUGUUGGGAAAGAAAAGCAGCAGGUUAAUACCCCGCUGUUCUGACGGUACCCAAAGAAUAAGCACCGGCUAACUUCGUG
rnacentral:rRNA from 1 species